rnacentral:lncRNA from 1 species
GCCUCCUCUUCCUUGCCACUCUCAUUUCAAUCCGCUACUUCCACUCCUCUUCAGAGUUACCUCCUCUGUUUAGUUUGAAACUGAAAGGCAUAGAAGCUAUCUAGAGAGCUACCGUAUCCAUGAGGGGCAAGCCAAUGCUUUAGAGCUCUUUAGCUGCCUCUGCACGAAUUCUUCUUCCGGUUGGAAAACUAUACCUCUUCUUUCGUCUUGCGAUUGGAUGAACCAGCAAGUGGCC